rnacentral:rRNA from 1 species
GUCAUUGUAGCAAUACAAGGCAGACGGCUCAUUAACGCGUAGUCAACCUAACCUAUGGACGGGAAUAACCUCGGGAAACUGAGAAUAAUGCCCGAUAGAACACUAUACCUGGAAUGGUUUGUGUUCCAAAUGAUUUAUCGCCGUAGGAUGGGACUGCGGCCUAUCAGUUUGUUGGUGAGGUAAUGGCCCACCAAGACUAUUACAGGUACGGGCUCUGAGAGGAGUAGCCCGGAGAUGGGUACUGAGACACGGACCCAGGCCCUAUGGGGCGCAGCAGGCGAGAAAACUUUGCAAUGUGCGAAAGCACGACAAGGUUAAUCCGAGUGAUUUGUGCUAAACGAAUCUUUUGUUAGUCCUAGAACCACUAACGAAUAAGGGGUGGGCAAGUUCUGGUGUCAGCCGCCGCGGUAAAACCAGCACCUCAAGUGGUCAGGAUGAUUAUUGGGCCUAAAGCAUCCGUAGCCGGCUCUGUAAGUUUUCGGUUAAAUCUGUACGCUUAACGUACAGGCUGCCGGGAAUACUGCAGAGCUAGGGAGUGGGAGAGGUAGACGGUACUCUGUAGGAAGGGGUAAAAUCCUUUGAUCUAUCAAUGACCACCUG